GGAUGUGAGGGCGAUCUGGCUGCAACAUCUGUCACCCCAUUGAUUGCCAGGGUUGAUUCAGCUGAUCUGGCUGGCUAGGCGGGUGUCCCCUUCCUCCCUCACCGCUCAAUGUGCGUCCCUCCCAAAGUUGCGCACUCGGUCAAAGAGGACAACCAUCCCCAAUAGAGGAGGACCGUUCUCCAGUCAAGGGUAUACGAGUAGCUGCGCUCCCCUGCUAGAACCUCCAAACAAGCUCUCAACUCUAUUUUAUGUGUUCAAAAAGUUAAAUAGAGAUGUAGAAAACAUUUAAAAAGACACAAUGUAUGGAAGUAUGAGAUUUAUAAUUUUUU
ensembl:misc_RNA 7SK 7SK RNA